rnacentral:rRNA from 1 species
UUGGAGGGCAAGUCUGGUGCCAGCAGCCGCGGUAAUUCCAGCUCCAAUAGCGUAUAUUAAAGUUGUUGCAGUUAAAAAGCUCGUAGUUGAAUUUCGGGAUCAAUGUUUCGGUCAUGCCGUUGGUAUGUACUGAUAUUAUUGAUUUCUCACCUUCUAAAGAACCGUAAUGCCAUUAAUUUGGUGUCACGGGGAAUUAGGACUGUUACCUUGAAAAAAUUAGAGUGUUUAAAGCAGGCUCACGCUUGAAUACAUUAGCAUGGAAUAAUGAAAUAGGACAUCCGAUUCUAUUUUGUUGGCUUCUAGGAUCGAUGUAAUGAUUAAUAGGGAUAGUUGGGGGCAUUAGUAUUCAAUUGUCAGAGGUGAAAUUCUUGGAUUUAUUGAAGACUAACUACUGCGAAAGCAUUUGCCAAGGAUGUUUUCAUUAAUCAAGAACGAAAGUUAGGGGAUCGAAGACGAUCAGAUACCGUCGUAGUCUUAACCAUAAACUAUGCCGACUAGGGAUCGGAUGAUGUUAAUUUUUUAAUGACUCAUUCGGCACCUUACGGGAAACCAAAG